CGACGAUGGAUGGGAUUCCGGUGCUGCUCCAGUAACAGAAGGAAGUAAAAGUCAAGAUCCAGACUAACACAGCUACCUUCUGAUACCUGCAAGCUGAGAGAGAUGGAUUCUUCAACAACAGGAGAUGAAGUCUUUGGGAACUGAAUAUAGCCCCAAGUCUUGAAAGAUCAACUGUAUCAGUUCUACAUGAGUUUCGACUUGGAUCCUGGACUGGCCUUUGAUCAGCCACUCAGGCAGAAGGAAGCACUUGCAUGACCAAGAGACCAGUAAUGUUCCAGCAACCAUCACGGGCAGCAAGAAGGAAUUGAAGGGGAAGAGGAUUCCUGCUGUAACCAGUCAGUAAAGUCUGAUAGCUUGUGCCCGUUGAAGCAGUCAUACUUGGAAAGACGUGCCUGGUCAUUGGCAGUUCUAAGCUAGAGACUGGUAGAUAUGCAUGUGCACAAGAGAAAGAAACACUGGCUUGCAGUUCCAUCUUACAGCCAUGGGAGAUUGUGUAGGAGACACACCUUGACUAGUUGCCCAGUUAGAAGAAACUUCCAAUUACUAAGCUUGACAAUAACCAUGGGGAUACGAGGCACUGGUGGCUACAUGUACAGCAGAUCCUUGUCCAAUGAAAAGAGGAAAGCAUCUGAGAUGGACUCGGGGCUGUGAUCUAUACUUGAACAGAAUCAGGAACACUUCCAGUUCUGGAGAGUUGCAAGCAAACCAACUGUAGAGACAACCCCUACUUGAAAAACUGAUCUUAGAGUAGCCAGCUGGAGAGACCAUUUGUGAUCCAAAUUGAAUGACUUGUUCGGGCAUUCUGGACUCCCAGCAGGCUUAAAGAAAAAUAAAGCACAGCCUUGAAAAAGGAGGUCUUCAAGAGUCUGCUGCACCUCUACAGGAAUCCCCAGCAACUGAAGCCACUAGAAAUGGUGCAUGGUUAUGGCUGUCACCAUGACCCUUUCAGCUAAGUCUGAAGCAUCAAGGAAAGUCUGAAGAGCAGCUUGGAAGAUCAAACGACUUUCCAUCAGAAGGAACUGAAACUUUUUCCUACAGUCCUCAGAGUGGUUGAUGGGUGCAGCUACAGAAAAUACACAAACAAUGGGACCAAGGAGCUGAGCAGAUGCAUAUGAAGGACCAGAAAAAUCAGCUAAAUGAAGAUAUGGCAAGGGAUAAUGGAAUACCAAGAACUAGAAAACUCUGUGACUAUGGGAAGUGACUUCAGUGCUUGUACACGAAUGCAUGCAGCCUGGGCAAUAAAAUGGAGGAACUGGAAAAACUAGUGCAGGAGGU